GAUAUGUUAGAUAGUCUAUUGUUUAUGGCUUGCGGUAUUGAUCGUAAUAUUGAUGGUGGGUGGUUACUUUCGCGGUUUACGUAUUGCGGUGUGUUUCCGGGUUUCAUGUAAGGCUUGUAUGAUGCGGAUAGUAGGUCAAGUGUGAUGUUAUAUGUAAACAACGAGUUUGAGUGUUUCAUCAGGGGAUCCAAACACGAGAAAACUGUAUGAAACACGAGCGCGAAGCGCGA